rnacentral:rRNA from 11 species
GAACGUCGUGAGACAGUUCGGUCCCUAUCUGCCGUGGGCGUUGGAGACUUGCGAGGCGCUGUCCCUAGUACGAGAGGACCGGGAUGGACGCACCUCUGGUGGACCUGUUGUGGCGCCAGCCGCAUUGCAGGGUAGCUAUGUAUGGACGGGAUAACCGCUGAAUGCAUCUAAGCGGGAAACCCACCUCAAAACCAGGUUUCCCUUGAGAGCCGUUCUAGACUAGGACGUCGAUAGGCCAGGUGUGGAAGCGCUGCGAAGCGUGGAGCUUACUGGUACUAAUU